AAUUUACAAGAGAUCCCCCGCGCACGUUAGUGCCGCGUCUUGGAUUUGUCAAUUGCUUCAUUUGGGAUUUCUGUAAAUCUUUCCCUCAUCUUCCCACCCUUGAGAAAUUCUGCAACGCGUGGAGACCGAUUAUACUUCAGAAGGGACUAGGGAGCCCUUCGCCUUCACAGAUUAAACCCUAGACAGUGCCUUGAGGAAGCCCUAAGUAGGAUAACUGAUUAUUCUCAGGGUAUUCGAUAGUUUAUAGAUAUCGUUUGGGGACAAGGAGCAAGAUGAAGUGAAGCUUGCGUUCUGUUGAUUCAUUGAAGGGUUUCUUGGAAAAUUUAGAUUAUUUUCGUGGCCGUGCCUGAAGAAGGUGGGGAUUUUGAGGAAGGUUGAGAUUUAUGGCUGAUCGAAGUAUAGUUGCCAAGCCAAUAUGGAUGAAGCAGGCAGAAGAGGCGAAAUUGAAGAGUGAGGCUGAAAAAGCUGCGGCUGCCAAAGCUGCUUUUGAAGCCACCUUCAAGGACGUUGAUAAGAAAGCUGAAAAGGAGUCUGCUUCUUCGGAUAGUGAUGCGGAAGAGGCUGAGGAGUUGGCUAACAAGCCUAUUGGGCCUCUGGAUCCUGCCAAAUGCACGGCCGCUGGUGCUGGGAUUGCUGGUGGCACUGCUGGUGCACCUUCGUCUUUUGUUGUUGUCACAAAGGACUUUGAUGGGCGGAAGAUACCCAAUGGAGGUGCUCACCUUAAAGUCAAGAUCUCACCUGGUGUUGGUGUUGGAGGUUCUGAGCAGGAAGGGAUGGUGAAAGAUCAGGGGGAUGGGAGUUAUACUGUUACUUAUGUUGUUCCGAAGAGAGGGAAUUACAUGGUUCAUGUUGAGUGUAAUGGGAAGCCCAUUAUGGGUAGUCCCUUUCCAGUGUUCUUCAGUGCGGGCACUACUGGAAGUGUGUUGGGUAUGCCACCUACGGCUCCAUAUCCCAAUCUUGUUAACCAGACAAUGCCCAACAUGCCGAAUUAUUCGGGGUCCGUGUCGGGAGCUUUUGGAUUAGCUGGAAUGAUCCCGGGUGUUGCUGCUGGUCCCUCAGGAGGGGCAUUAUUGCCUGGUUAUGCAUCCCUUGGAGAAGUUUGUCGGGAGUAUCUGACUGGGCGUUGUUUGAAAACUGACUGUAAGUUAAACCACCCACCUCAAAAUUUGUUGUCAGCUAUGAUGAAUCCGGCAACGAACAUGGGGACUUUGAGUCCUUCUGCUGCUGCAAUGGCUGCUGCUCAGGCAAUUGUUGCUGCACAAGUUUAUCAAGCUCAGACACAGGCGCAAGCUCAAUCUGCAAGAGAUUCAUCUGGUUCACCUGAAAAGGUAGAUGUUCUGAAAAGAACGCUCCAAGUAAGCAACCUGAGCCCGCUUCUUACUGUGGAACAGCUGAAACAGCUUUUUAGUUUUUGUGGCACCGUCGUCGAAUGUAGUAUCACCGAUUCAAAGCACUUUGCUUACAUAGAAUACUCAAAGCCAGAAGAAGCAACUGCUGCUCUUGCGUUGAACAAUUGGGAUGUUGGAGGCCGUCCUUUGAAUGUUGAGAUGGCAAAAACCCUUCCUCCAAAACCUUCCGUUUUGAAUUCUAACUUGAAUCAGUCUUCUGUGACUGUGAUGAUGCAGCAGGCAGUUGCUCUGCAGCAGAUGCAGUUUCAGCAGUCUCUUCUUGUGCAACAAGCAGCAAUAAAUUCACAGCAGGCUGCCAAUCGAGCUGCAAUGAAGUCUGCAACUGAAAUUGCAGCUGCCAGAGCGGCAGAGAUAAGCAAAAAGUUGAAAAUUGAUGGUCUUGGCAUUGAAGAUAAGGAAACUAAACGAAAAUCCAGGUCACCGUCCAUUUCUCACCCAAGAUCAAAGUCCAGAUCAAAAUCUCCCAUAAGAUAUCAACGCAGCCGAAGGUUCCGCUCCCCCUCUCCUUUGACCCGCCAUUCAAGGGAUCGUAGAUCCAGAUCACCAUUGAGAUCUCAACGUCACACUGACUACAGCAGUGAGCGGAGGUCCCAUAGAGAAAGCAGGGAUACCAGAUCUGGAAGACGGGAAAGAGAGAGAUCACAUGAUCGUUAUUCCUCUCUCUCAAAGAGGAACAGGAGUAGGAGUGUGACUCCUCGAACGAGAAAAUCAAUUCGGGCUGGUUCGGCGUCUCCAAAACGUCAUCGAGGAAGUUUAAGCCCUAGAACAAGGAAAUCAUCUCAUGCUAGAUCAAGGUCACCAAGGCAUCAUAGAGGAAGGAAGUCAUCCCCAAGACACAACAGUGAGAGCAUCUCGAACCAAAGGAGACGCUCAAGGUCUAAAUCUGCUGAGGGCAGGUCCCAUGCGGAUGAUAGGAAAGAUAGAAGCAGAUCUGAGAAGUUGAAGCUUGAUGGCAAAAAGCCUGAGAAAACUGAGGGUGCUUUGAAGGAAUCAGAUCCAACAGGGAAGGUCUUGAAGGAGAUGGGGGAAGAAGGCAUCUUAGAUUCAUCAGCACGACCUCAUGAGAACUUGUUAUCGGGGGAUGGUGCUUUAAUUGAUGGAAGAGAUGGAAGUUGGCAUAAAAAGUCUAAACUUGAUGACAGAGAUUCUGGGAAACCUGAGGCUGCAAGUAAGGAUCAGGAUUUUGAUGAUAAUAUUUUGAUGGAUUUGAAUGAUGAUAAGAGUUCUGCCAGGUCUCCAUUGUUAAAAUCACAUGUGAAAAGUGCAGCAUUCGUAGAUGCCAAGGUUCAUUUAAGUAGUAAAGAGUCGAGCAGACAUGAAAAAUCAGCUUCUGAGCAAAGAAAGCAUGAUAAAACCAACACAUCAAGAAAGGAGCGGAAUUCUUCUGACAAGGAAAAAACCCAUGCCCAUGGUCAGGAUUUGAGUAGGCAUGGGAAAUCAAAUUCAGAAUCUCGAAGACGUGAGAAAGAUGAUCUGGUUAGAAGGGAAAAAGAUUCUUUCCGUGAUGAUUCCACAUACUCUAGGGAAGAUAGGAGAGCCAUUGAGUCUUCGAAGUCCAAAUACCACAGGCAUAGUUCAAAGCAUUCAGAGGAUAGUUCCUCUAGAAGUACAAAGGAUCGACACAAAUCAGACAAGUCGAAGUUGCAGGAUGCUAAACCUGGGAGAUCGGCUUCUGCCACGAAAGGAAUUACAUCUGAUCUAGGAGAUGGUGAUGCUGUCAGUUCCCGAGAAUUGAAGACUUUUAUUAGUUCACCUGCAGUUAAAGAUGGAACCAGUAGCGAUCCAAAAAAUCUUAAUAAGCAUGAAAAGCUGAUUAAGGCGGACGGUGAACUGGAAAGAUAUGAUGCCAUCCCCAGUGAAGAAGGCUGUAUAGAUUGUAGUUUUGGGGAAAGAGGGGAAGAUGUUAGUGAUGCAUCUUGUUCCAGGUUCAAGCCCCACAUCAGAAAUCCACAAGUUGAUAGAACCUAUUUUGGCACAGGAAAUUUAGAUAGGUUUGAGCAGUUUGAAUUGGAGCACGGAAAAUUAAAUGAAGAUAAGUCCCUUAUUGAUCGUGAUUUUACUGAUUAUGAAUUGACUGACUUGGUAGGUGAUGGGCAGCCUCAAGAAAUGGAUUGCAUUUCAAAAGAACAAGAAUACACUAACAAUAUCUCCAAGGACUUGAGGGAAGAUGGGAUGAUUUCACCUUCUUCCAAACAGGAGACUAGGAAGAGAAGUUCAUUGGCAUCAGAUGAGCCUUCUUAUUAUGCAGCGAAUCUAGGGAAGGAUGAAAAGUUAGUGGAGUGUGAUGUGUUCAAUAUUAAUGAGGACAAAGACAGUACCUGUGAAAUGUCACCAGAUGUCUAAUGCAACACUGAACCUGUUUAUUUCCCAUCUAUCACCAAGGACGAGGGUGAAGUUCGACUUGAAAAGUAAUACUCAAGGGAUGCUGGGAAGGCUGCAGAUUGCUUAUGUUGAAGACUCAGAGUAGUUCGACACAAAAAUGGAGCUGCUUCUGGAGGAGAUGCAUGGCGUAUAAGAUAGAAGCUUGAGUUGGCAUUGAGGAGCGCAUGAAGUUUCUUCUACAACCAUAUCACUUACUUUUGAGUUCUGGAGGAAUGACCUUCCUGGAACAAGGCUAUUCUGCGGAUAAUUUCAUUUUUCUGUACUAAGAAUUUGGUGUGACCUUUAACUCUUCAUAAAUAUUCUUGUGCUUGUGUAUCUUUUGCAGGUCUGAGGAAACUUCACAUAAGAGAGUUUAGAAGCAGACCUUGGUUUGGUCAAAGUGAUUACAAGGAGUGCACUGUUCCAUGCAUCCAGGGUCAAUCGUGCAAUGUCUGUGACAAACUUAUUUUGCUGCUUAAUGUAUGUUGCACUAUUAUCUCCAUCAUUUGGUAGUGGAUUUUUAAUCAAAUGGCUUGCCUACUGUAGCUCUGGUUAUUUUCUUUUAAUUUAUUUUCUCAAGAUACCAGAUUAUUUUUCAAGCCUUAGAAGCCUGGAUCUUAUGUAGACUAGGAGUUACAUCUCAACCAAUGCUGAGCUGUCUGAUAUGAAUGAUAUCUGAGAAGAUGAACCUACUCUGUAGGUUUGUUUUCCAGAAUGCAUCCCAUAGUUGUCAGUCUACAUGAUAUGGAUUUUUUACUUGAUACUGUUGUUUUCUUUCUCGUUGUGUUGGGUGAUUGAAAAGUGUGUAGCCUCAUGAUAAGCCUUUCUCUGAGGUUUCUGAUUAUAGGCUCCACUUUAUUUUCCUUUAAUGGUCAGGUGGUUGCCUGUCAUAUUCGAAAUAUGUGCAGGUGUUUGAUGGUGGUUAUAGCAGCUUUCCAGAGCAAGCUGGCAGGGUUCAUCUUCUCUAUGAUGGAUUUAAGUGUCUUUGAUUAGGUAAUCUACUUUUAAGGUCAGCUGAAGCCAGGGAAUUCUGGGUUGCAUUUAAUCCACAAUCUCACCACGUGAGCUUUGAGCAGAUUGGCUGAGUUUGGACUAGUUCAUGGUGAAUUGUGCCAUGGUGAUUUUAACAGGUAACUUUAUGGGAAACCAUGGAACAGAGUUUGUUUAGGUUCUGCAAAUUGUGUUAUUAUUUGGAUCAAAGGCUUUAGCAUACUUUUACCAUGCACACUUGUAGGUGCUGGCUAUGGAUCUUAAUAAAUUCUUAACGGGUCAUUAAAACCUGUCUAUUCAUUAAAUGAUAACCACAAGCAUCAAAUUCUUCUGUGAAUUCAGAGGACAAUGGAUCUCCUGCUUCAAAGGGAUGAGUUUUCCAUUCUGUUAGUGGAUACAAACAUAUGUUUAUGAUGGCUCCGAUCUGGUAACUUGAUAGAGUUUUGAUACCUCCAUUCAUCAAGUAAAUCCACUUGCCUCACUGUUGCUUUCAAUUCAAAAGGAUAGCGGAUCUGCUACUCCAAAUGGCUGAUAUGUCUAGUAUGUUUUCAGCUACAAACUUAAAUUUGUCAUGCCCUGAUCUGUUCAACUUUUUUUUUUCCCUUCUCUCUCUUGGAUUUGCUUCGUUUGCAGGGUUUUGUAUUCUUUGGUAGAAUCGGUGUAUCACAUUACAGAGUUGGUUCCAGUUAUUUUUAGGACCUAGUACACUCAAGGCGUGGCCAAAUACCUUCUAUUAUCAUCGUUGACUGGGGAAGCUAGUCAAUGUGUGUUGCCAUGGCAGAUGUAGUUGGUACUCUUUUUGGAAGUUCAGUACUUGGGUAGUAGUUUUAAAUAUAUUAUAUAUUUCAGAAAAAGCAGUGAAUUUAUUUCAAUAGUAAUGGUGAGAUAUAUUAUUUUCCAA